rnacentral:rRNA from 1 species
GGAAUAUUGGACAAUGGGCGCAAGCCUGAUCCAGCCAUGCCGCGUGAGUGAUGAAGGCCCUAGGGUUGUAAAGCUCUUUCAGCGGGGAAGAUAAUGACGGUACCCGCAGAAGCAGCCCCGGCUAACUUCGUGCCAGCAGCCGCGGUAAUACGAAGGGGGCUAGCGUUGUUCGGAAUUACUGGGCGUAAAGCGCACGUAGGCGGCUUUGUAAGUUAGAGGUGAAAGCCCAGGGCUCAACCCUGGAAUUGCCUUUAAGACUGCAUCGCUUGAACAUCGGAGAGGUAAGUGGAAUUCCGAGUGUAGAGGUGAAAUUCGUAGAUAUUCGGAAGAACACCAGUGGCGAAGGCGACUUACUGGACGAUUGUUGACGCUGAGGUGCGAAAGCGUGGGGAGCAAAC